GCCCUGGUUAGCUUGGUGGGUAGCGCGACUGCCUUAUAAGCGAUAGGUCGCGGGUUCGAUUCGCGCCCAGGGCG
rnacentral:tRNA from 1 species